AUUGAACGCUGGCGGCAUGCUUUACACAUGCAAGUCGAACGGCAGCGCGGGCUUCGGCCUGGCGGCGAGUGGCGAACGGGUGAGUAAUACAUCGGAACGUGCCCAGUAGUGGGGGAUAGCUCGGCGAAAGCCGGAUUAAUACCGCAUACGACCUGAGGGUGAAAGCGGGGGAUCUUCGGACCUCGCGCUAUUGGAGCGGCCGAUGGCAGAUUAGCUAGUUGGUGGGGUAAAGGCCUACCAAGGCGACGAUCUGUAGCUGGUCUGAGAGGACGACCAGCCACACUGGGACUGAGACACGGCCCAGACUCCUACGGGAGGCAGCAGUGGGGAAUUUUGGACAAUGGGCGAAAGCCUGAUCAAGCAAUGCCGCGUGUGUGAUGAAGGCCUUCGGGUUGUAAAGCACUUUUGGCGGGAACGAAAAGGACUGUGCCAAUACCACGGUUCGAUGACGGUACCCGCAGAAUAAGCACCGGCUAACUACGUG
rnacentral:rRNA from 1 species